GUGCCUGUGAGGGGGAAACAGAGAGACGGUGGGUGACAGAGAGGAGGUGGGUGAGAGAGAGGAGGUGGGUGACAGAGAGAUGGGGGGUGACAGAGAGACGGUGGGUGACAGAAAGACGGUGGGUGAGAGAGAGGAGGUGGGUGACAGAGAGAUGGUGGCUGACAGAGAGACGGUGGGUGACAGAGAGGAGGUGGGUGAGAGAGAGGAGGUGGGUGACAGAGAGAUGGGGGGUGACAGAGAGACGGUGGGUGACAGAAAGACGGUGGGUGACAGAGAGGAGGUGGGUGACAGAGAGACGGUGGGUGACAGAGAGACGGUGGCUGACAGACGGUGGGUGACAGAGAGGAGGUGGGUGACAGAGAGACGGUGGGUGACAGAGAGACGGUGGGUGACAGAGAGGAGGUGGGUGACAGAGAGACGGUGGCUGAGAGAUGGUGGGUGACAGAGAGGAGGUGGGUGACAGAGAGGAGGUGGGUGACAGAGAGACGGUGGGUGACAGAGAGACGGUGGGUGACAGAGAGGAGGUGGGUGACAGAGAGACGGUGGGUGACAGAGAGGAGGUGGGUGACAGAGAGACGGUGGCUGAGAGACGGUGGGUGACAGAGAGACGGUGGGUGACAGAGAGACGGUGGGUGACAGAGAGGAGGUGGGUGACAGAGAGGAGGUGGGUGACAGAGAGACGGUGGCUGACAGACGGUGGGUGACAGAGAGAUGGUGGCUGACAGAGAGACGGUGGGUGACAGAGAGACGGUGGGUGACAGAGAGGAGGUGGGUGACAGAGAGACGGUGGGUGACAGAGGAGGUGGGUGACAGAGAGACGGUGAGUGACAGAGAGACGGUGGGUGACAGAGAGGAGGUGGGUGACAGAGAGACGGUGGCUGACAGAGAGACGGUGGGUGACAGAGAGGAGGUGGGUGACAGAGAGACGGUGGUGACAGAGAGGAGGUGGGUGACAGAGAGACGGUGGCUGAGAGACGGUGGGUGACAGAGAGAUGGUGGGUGGGUGACAAAGAGACGGUGGCUGACAGAGAGACGGUGGGUGACAGAGACGGUGGGUGACAGAGAGGAGGUGGGUGACAGAGAGACGGUGGGUGACAGAGAGGAGGUGGGUGACAGAGAGAUGGUGGCUGAGAGACGGUGGGUGACAGAGAGACGGUGGGUGACAGAGAGAUGGUGGGUGACAGAGAGAUGGUGGGUGACAGAGAGGAAGUGGGUGACAGAGAGACGGUGGGUGACAGAGAGGAGGUGGGUGACAGAGAGACGGUGGCUGACAGAUGGUGGGUGACAGAGAGAUGGUGGGUGACAGAGAGACGGUGGGUGACAGAGAGGAGGUGGGUGACAGAGAGACGGUGGGUGACAGAGAGGAGGUGGGUGACAGAGAGACGGUGGGUGACAGAGAGGAGGUGGGUGAGAGACGGUGGGUCACAGAUGAGGUGGGUGACAGAGAGAUGGUGAGUGACAGAGAGAUGGUGGGUGACAGAUGGUGGGUGACAAAGAGACGGUGGGUGACAGAGAGAUGGCGGGUGACAGACAGAUGGUGGGUGACAGAGAGAUGGCGCACAGACAGAGAGAUGAUGGACAGUCUGGCUCCAGAGCACAGAGGAAGAGACGGUACAUGCGGGGAGAGAGAGUAAAUGAUAGACAGACGGGGGAACAGGUAGAUGGUAGAUGGGUGACAGAAUAGAUUUACAGAUGAUACACGGGGGAGAGAGAAUAAAUGAAAGAUGGACGGGGGAGUAGAUGAUGGAUGGGGGAGUAGACGAUGGACGGGGGAGUAGAUGAUGGACGGGGGAGUAGAUGAUGGACGGGGGAAUAGAUGAUAGACGGGGGAGUAGAUGAUAGACGGGGGAGUAGAUGAUGGACGGGGGAAUAGAUAGAUGGGGGAAC